UACGGAGGGUGCAAACGUUGCUCGGAAUCGUUGGGCGUAAAGCGCACGUAGGCGGGUUGUUAAGUCGGAUGUGAAAUCCCUCAGCUUAACUGAGGAAGUGCACUCGAAACUGGCAGCCUUGAGUAUGGAAGAGGGUCGCGGAAUUCCCGGUGUAGAGGUGAAAUUCGUAGAUAUCGGGAGGAACACCAGUGGCGAAGGCGGCCACCUGGACGGUGACUGACGCUGAGACUCGAAAGCGUGGGUAGCAAACAGG
rnacentral:rRNA from 1 species